GAUGAACGCUGGCGGCGUGCUUAACACAUGCAAGUCGAACGAAGCACUUUAUUUGAUUUCCUUCGGGACUGAUUAUUUUGUGACUGAGUGGCGGACGGGUGAGUAACGCGUAGGCAACCUGCCUUGUACAGGGGGAUAACAGUUGGAAACGGCUGCUAAUACCGCAUAAGCGCACAGCAUCGCAUGAUGCAGUGUGAAGAACUCCGGUGGUAGAAGAUGGACCCGCGUUGGAUUAGCUAGUUGGUGAGGUAACGGCCCACCAAGGCGACGAUCGAUAGCCGACCUGAGAGGGUGACCGGCCACGUUGGGACUGAGACACGGUCCAAACUCCUACGGGAGGCAGCAGUGGGGAAUAUUGCACAAUGGGCGAAAGCCUGAUGCAGCGACGCCGCGUGAGCGAAGAAGUAUUUCGGUAUGUAAAGCUCUAUCAGCAGGGAAGAUAAUGACGGUACCUGACUAAGAAGCACCGGCUAAAUACGUGCCAGCCGCCGCGGUAACAC
rnacentral:rRNA from 1 species